rnacentral:rRNA from 1 species
UACGUAGGGGGCAAGCGUUGUCCGGAUUUAUUGGGCGUAAAGAGCGUGUAGGCGGCCAGGUAGGUCAGCUGUGAAAACUCGAGGCUCAACCUCGAGACGUCGGUUGAAACCGUAUGGCUAGAGUCCGGAAGAGGAGAGUGGAAUUCCCGGUGUAGCGGUGAAAUGCGCAGAUAUCGGGAAGAACACCCGUGGCGAAGGCGGCUCUCUGGGACGGUACUGACGCUGAGACGCGAAAGCGUGGGGAGCGAACAGG